AUUGAACGCUGGCGGCAUGCCUUACACACGCAAGUCGAACGGCAGCACGGGAGCAAUCCUGGUGGCGAGCGGCGAACGGGUGAGUAAAGUAUCGGAACGUGCCCAGUCGUGGGGGAUAACGUAGCGAAAGUUACGCUAAUACCGCAUACGAUCUAUGGAUGAAAGCGGGGGAUCGCAAGACCUUGCGCGAUUGGAGCGGCCGAUAUCAGAUUAGGUAGUUGGUGGGGUAAAGGCUCACCAAGCCGACGAUCUGUAGCUGGUCUGAGAGGACGACCAGCCACACUGGGACUGAGACACGGCCCAGACUCCUACGGGAGGCAGCAGUGGGGAAUUUUGGACAAUGGGCGAAAGCCUGAUCCAGCCAUGCCGCGUGCAGGAUGAAGGCCUUCGGGUUGUAAACUGCUUUUGUACGGAACGAAAAGGUUUGGCCUAAUAAGCUGAGCUCAUGACGGUACCGUAAGAAUAAGCACCGGCUAACUACGUGCCAGCAGCCGCCGUAA
rnacentral:rRNA from 1 species